UCUGAGAGGCCAUCUGGAUGAGUGACCUGACAUAAUUAGUCAUUAAUCCCACUCUUGGGAACAAUAGAGUGAGCUGGGAAUGUGUUUGGACUUUGAUCGUGGUCAGGGUGAUCUCGGAGGGAAGGGAAGAGAAAGCUAAGCAGAUUACCCUGGCAUUCUGUUAACUAAAGAACAGCGAGCAGAAGUGGCCAGUGGCAUAUGCAUCUCACAUGUGCUACCUUUUCCUUCAGUUACUAUUAGGCCUCUUUCCAGAGCCAUGUGGCUCCUGGAUUAGUUCAGGAGAGAUUUUCUUUUUUUACAGUGUUCAAUGAAAAGAGAGCAGUAGUUUACUUAAAAUUCUCAGGCAACAGAUGGGGAAAAAAAACCCAGAGCCCAAAGCACCAGGCAGCUUGCUUUACAGGUGUCAAUAUUUACUAAGCAGACUUUGCUAGCAUCUCUUUUGGGGGAAAAGAAGAGAGGAUAGUUAAUCAGGAAAACAAUAGCAAUCAGCCCUGUUGUCUAAAACAGAACGAUUAGAAUUAAAAGAUGAUGGAUGGAAUGAUAUGCCUGACUGCAACAAUUACCUUCUGUGGGAAGAAAGCCUGUUAAACCAUCAAUUCCCAAAAGCUUUCUGGAACAGCCAGAUCUUGACAGAUCCACAUGGUUUCAAUCACUGGUUCCCUUGAUGCAGCUCCUGACCUGGUGGUAUAUAGAUCACAGAGGAAUUGGUGCUACUUUGCAAGGUCUUCUGUUGACGGAGGUUGUCACAAUGGCUGGAAGUUAAAGCACAGCUCCACCCUUCAAUCUUUAUCGCAAAAGAAAUAAUACUCAGCUCCCUAACUAGAUCAUCUGAAACCACUUAGAUGAAGUUUAACAAAGCAACAAUGACAUCCAGUGGUUGCUGAAUUGAUCAACAGUUUCUCUUCCCAGUUUCAUAUAAUGAAUGUAUGGCAACAUUAGCUGCUUCUCUCUCUCCCCCCCCCUCUCCCUCUCUCUCUCUCUGUCUCUCUCCCUCCCUCCUCCCUCCUCUCUCCCUCUCUCUUCCUGCCUUUCUCCUAAGGAAUUAUCACAAAAGAUUUGAGAAAGCUUGUUUAAACAAUUUAACAGAGCACAUAUAUCAAUGUACUCCAAUGUGGCCCAGUUUUUACCUAGAGUAUAAACAUCAUUUUGGAAUAUGAUCCUUUAGAGUCUAUGGGAUUUAAUUUUGAAUGGAUCUGUACACAAUCUGCUGUUAAUAAAUGUUUACAUGUUUGCUAAAUAAACUGUCA